UGCGUUUAUACUGUUAUUUAUUCUGUAUCUCAAUAAAGAUCUAUUAAAAAAACAAACAAAAAAAAACAAGGUAAGCUCCAUGUUAAGAUCUUCAGGCUUUUGAUUUUGAUUAUUUUUUAUGAAUGCAUUAACUUUCUGUUUGCGCAAUAGUAUCAACUUAUGCUUAACGUAAGUUUAUUUGUUUGGAUAUCGCGGUACGACUGUUCAGUACAGGGAGCUCAAGUCCAGUCCUUGAGAGCUGCCAUCCUGCAACUUUCAGAUGCUUCCCUGCUCCAAUUAACACACCUGAAUCAAAUGAAUGGCUGGUUAGCAGGUCUGUUCGGAGCUGAUCCUGGUCUGCUGGAGUAAAGAUGCAUCGAAAAGUUGCAGGACUUCUCGAGGACUGGACGUGAGCACCCUUGGUUUAUUGUUUUUGUUAGCAGCUAAAGCUAGCCAAGCAGGUGUAGCACGGGGUGUCGGGUGGUUAAACAAACAUUAAAACUGUCAGAAAGGCCGUUUGAGUUAACAUUAUUUAGCUGCGGAGUUGUUUUCUUGAAGUUUUCAGCUAUAGACGGCAUAAUGGGGAGAGUGGCUGUGCUGGACCGGUGGUUUGAUCUAUGCGAGCAAAGCUAAGCCAAAAUGUUUUUGUCUCUAUAAAUAAUAAUGAUAAUAAAUAAUGACAUAUUGGCUGCCUCUUUUUUUUCUUCAUUAGUACGUCAUGUUGGUGACUGAAGCUGUUAUGUUGACUUCAACACAUUUGUUCUGACAGGUUGGUAGAAGAAAUCCUCUCCAGAAUGUUUCUAUAAGCUGACUAAUUUCUAUAAUGCCUAAUGUCUGAGUUGUGUUCAUGGUAAUUAUUUCUGACAUUUUUAUGCUUUAUGUUGUAGGUGGU